rnacentral:lncRNA from 1 species
UUGUACAUGUUGUAUGUGCUUAUGAUUCUGAUGGAUUCAUCAUAUUUGCUGCAUUGUAUGCCUGUACGUAGCACAUUUCCUUGAUGCACAGAACUGUACCAGUCUUGUUAUUAGUCUAUAAGAUUAUUACUGAUCUGUGCAAACUGGUGAUUGUUGAGCCAGCAUGCCACAUUGCAGUGCUAGGAUAUUUUGCUAUGUUUUUUGUAUGCCUA